rnacentral:rRNA from 1 species
AUUGAACGCUGGCGGCAUGAUUUACACAUGCAAGUCGAACGGUAACAGGCCGCAAGGUGCUGACGAGUGGCGAACGGGUGAGUAAUGCAUCGGAACGUGCCCAGUCGUGGGGGAUAACUACUCGAAAGAGUAGCUAAUACCGCAUACGAUCUAUGGAUGAAAGCGGGGGACCGUAAGGCCUCGCGCGAUUGGAGCGGCCGAUGUCAGAUUAGGUAGUUGGUGGGGUAAAGGCUCACCAAGCCAACGAUCUGUAGCUGGUCUGAGAGGACGACCAGCCACACUGGGACUGAGACACGGCCCAGACUCCUACGGGAGGCAGCAGUGGGGAAUUUUGGGCAAUGGGCGCAAGCCUGAUCCAGCAAUGCCGCGUGCAGGAAGAAGGCCUUCGGGUUGUAAACUGCUUUUGUACGGAACGAAACGGCUCUGGUUAAUACCCGGGGCUAAUGACGGUACCGUAAGAAUAAGCACCGGCUAACUACGUG